AUGAAGAACGUAGCGAAAUGCGAUACGUAAUGUGAAUUGCAGAAUUCAGUGAAUCAUCGAAUCUUUGAACGCAUAUUGCGCUCUUUGGUAUUCCGAAGAGCAUGCUUGUUUGAGUAUCAGUAAACACCUCAAAGCUUUUGGAUUUUUUAAUCGAAAAGCUUUGGACUUGAGCAAUCCCAACACCAAUCUUUUUGAGAUCGGUGGCGGGUUGCUUGAAAUGCAGGUGCAGCUGGACAUUCUCCUGAGCUAAAAGCAUAUUCAUUUAGUCCCGUCAAACGGAUUAUUACUUUUGCUGCAGCUAACAUAAAGGGAGUUUGACCGUAUUGGCUGACUGAUGCAGGAUUUCACAAGGGUCGGCAACGAUUCUUGUUAAACUCGAUCUCAAAUCAAGUAAGACUACCCGCUGAACUUAAGCAUAUCAAUAAGCGGAGGA
rnacentral:misc_RNA from 1 species